rnacentral:lncRNA from 1 species
CGGCGGGCGGGGCGUGGCGCCUUUCCCGUGGUGCCGCGGGAGCGGCGGCCGCAGCGGCCGCGAUUUCGUCCGGGUCCCGCAAGUACCGGGACGGCGGGGCCGGGCGGCGGCCGGGGGACGCGGGAGCGGCCGCGGGGUCGGAGCGCGCCGGGGGGAGGGUGGAGGCGGAGGGACUGAGCCGAGGGGCCCGUACGGGCGGGUGCGGGGCCUCGGCCCGGCCUCUCCGCCGCCUUUGCCGCGGGCCCGGUUCAUUGUCCUUAUUCCCCUCAUCCAUGCCUUUUUCCCCUCGUUCUCCCCCGCUCUCCUCCAGGCUCACUGGAAGGUCCGGAAGUGCCGCCCCCGGGAGCCGUCGGCGCCAGGGCUUUAUUAUAACACCAGGACCUUUUGGGCUCCAGCCUGCAAACCUCUGCAGCAUUGGGACAUGGAGAGAAAGCACAAGAGAGCAAGGCUGAGGCUGUUCUCAGAGCCUGAUGUAAUUACUGAUGGGUUCUUCGUUAGCUGCCCAGCACUGCCCCAAUUGCCUCUGUGCUGCAAGGAACAGGAUGCACAGACAGCACUGCAGCUCUUCGUAAGUUUAGAGCAAACCUCAUCAGACCAGUGGGAAAACCUACAGCCCUGGCAAAACCUGUGUUCCCACUGGAUUGCCAUGACUCAGUGAACGCCAUUGUGUUGCAGAAAUUCUGAAAUGGAGCCAAGAAAUUCCAAGAUUACCUUCUUAAAAUAAAAAUACCCACUAAACUGCUUGUCCUUCA